rnacentral:rRNA from 1 species
CUCAUUAAAUCAGUUAUAGUUUAUUUGAUGGUCUCUUUUGUCUUUUUUUACCUACUUGGAUAACCGUGGUAAUUCUAGAGCUAAUACAUGCGCAAGGUCCCGAGCGCGGGGGGCGGGGCUUCACGGCCUCGUCCUCGCAUGCGCAGAGGGAUGUAUUUAUUAGGUUAAAAACCAGCAGCCGGCAACGGCUUCAACUCCUGGUGAUUCAUAGUAACUCUUUCGGAUCGCAUUCAUG